rnacentral:lncRNA from 1 species
AAUGAUGGGUGUGUUUGGUUCGAUGGAAAAGGACGGAAAAGAAAACGUUUUCAGGGAAAGUUGAAAUUCCGUUGUUUGGUUCAAAAAGAGAACAUAAGAAAAUGGAAAGCAGAUUCCCCGCGAUAUAUCAGCUAGUCUAAAAUUUCGGAAAAUGGAUAUCUUUUUUGUUUUACGGAAACCGCUUUCCUUUUUCAUCUUCCGUCUCGAACUCCCGAUCUAUUUCUCUCCAUCUUCCCCAUACCAAAACCGCUUCUUCUUCUUCCUUCUCCUUCUCUAUCUAAAUUGUGUUUUCUUCUUUCCUUUCUUCUUCUCUCGCUCGGUGACCUGGUUUUAGAGAUCUGGAACUCUCCUUUCUUCCUCAUUCAAUCAAAACAAGGUAAUCAAAGUUUUCUUAAACAAGACCAGAUUUAUUUUCUAAACAUUGUUAGAUGUAAAAUUUCAUAGUUGUUUCUUCAAAAUAGGUGUUAAAUUUGGGUUUUUGUUUUCUGGGAUUUUGCGAGAAGUGUUUGUUAUCAAUAAAACUGUGAUUUUUAUAUAUCUUCAUAUCAAAGUUCAGGUUGAAAGCAAAAAAUUAAGGUUGCUGAGACUGUUUUUUGUGUUUUCUGCAUUGGGUUGUCCUUAUUUUGUCAAAAAUAUAUUUUUCAAAUAUUUACAUUUUGAAAAUGCAUUCAAGUAAUUUUCUGCCAUAAUCAAAUAGACAUUAAUGUUAUAGUGGUGAUUAUGCUUUUAUUUUGUUUCUUGGUAUGUCAUCAACAUACUUCAAAACCAACCAGCUGCGAUAUGUGAUCAGUAGUGAUAUUUACAAUGAAUCUAAGCACCUGGCUUGAUCCCUAAGCCUGCACCCUGCUCUUUCCCUGCGAUUAACCAACUAUAAAUCCUUAGCCGUCCUUAGAAUAUUUUCGAUAAAGACACUCAAAUUAUCUUGAUUAUUUGGGACACUGGAAUUCAUCAACAAUUAACUUCAGAAAUAAAGACCAACACGUUUCAUGACUCGUAAGAUAGUGUAAAAAAUUAUAUUGAAACAUACCAGGUUAACGAGUGUGUUUUCAACAAAGGUCUAAUGGGUUUAUCUUUUACUAAUUGGAUCAUUUAGCAUUACACACAAGGGGUGAGCUGAUUGUUUUGUUAUUUUAACCAAUCUGAGAUCGGGUAUCUACUUUUCAGAAUGGAUGUAUUGGUGGCAUAUUCAUGCUCUAACCACCUUAAUUAAUGAUCUGUACAGAUGAAGCCAAUUGUUGGGAAGAGAUACAUGCAAACGACUGUGAACCGUUCCGUCACCCAAGAUGUUUCAGUCAACAACACACACCAUUCCAUCUGUUUUGAGAUAAAGCCGAUCCUAUUUAGGUGGCCUUCGUGCACAUUCAGGACUAGAUGAUAAGGUUUUGGAAAAUGGUUUUGUACUGAAGACAAUGGUUUUCUAUCAACGUGUGCGUGUUUUGUUUCUAUUUCUUUUCUCCAUGUUCACUAUCAUGCCAAAAAAUGUAAAGGACGUUACAUAUCAAGUUUUGGAAGCUCUCAUGUACUCCAAAUUUUCGAGAUAGAAAGAGUUGGUAUCAGAGGUGCUUGUGUUGAAAUUCCGCACACUAUUGUGAGUGUUGUUGUACCUAGGUUUAUUAAGCAUUGAAGUUGCUUGUGACAGUGUAGAAGUUUAUCAAGGGCCAACAUAUAUGUUUAUAGUGAUCUAGAUUAUCAAGGAACAUCAUAUAUCUUUAUAGUUGUCUAAA